rnacentral:rRNA from 1 species
AUUGAACGCUGGCGGAAUGCUUUACACAUGCAAGUCGAGCGGCAGCGCGGGGCAACCUGGCGGCGAGCGGCGAACGGGUGAGUAAUGCAUCGGAACAUGUCCAUGGAUGGGGGAUAGCCCGGCGAAAGCCGGAUUAAUACCGCAUGAGCCCGAGAGGGGAAAGUGGGGGACCGCAAGGCCUCACGUCGAUGGGUUGGCCGAUGCCCGAUUAGCUAGUUGGUGAGGUAAUGGCUCACCAAGGCGAUGAUCGGUAGCUGCUCUGAGAGGAUGAGCGGCCACACUGGGAAUGAGACGCGGCGCAGACUCCUACGGGAGGCAGCAGUGGGGAAUUUUGGACAAUGAGGGCAACCAUGAUCCAGCCAUUCCGCGUGAGCGAAGCAGGCCUGCAGGUUGUAAAGCUCUUUUGUCCGGAGCGAAACGGGGCGCGUGAAUAUCGCGCUCUACUGACGGUACCGGAAGAAUAAGCACCGGCUAACUACGUGCCAGCCGCCGCCGUAA